GAUGAACGCUAGCGACAGGCUUAACACAUGCAAGUCGAGGGGCAGCAUAGAAGUAGCAAUACUUUGGUGGCGACCGGCGCACGGGUGAGUAACGCGUAUGCAACCUACCUAUCAGAGGGGAAUAACCCGGCGAAAGUCGGACUAAUACCGCAUAAAACAGGGGCACCGCAUGGUGAUAUUUGUUAAAGAAAUUCGCUGAUAGAUGGGCAUGCGUUCCAUUAGGUAGUUGGUGAGGUAACGGCUCACCAAGCCGACGAUGGAUAGGGGAACUGAGAGGUUGGUCCCCCACACUGGUACUGAGACACGGACCAGACUCCUACGGGAGGCAGCAGUGAGGAAUAUUGGUCAAUGGGCGAGAGCCUGAACCAGCCAAGUCGCGUGAAGGAAGAAGGAUCUAUGGUUCGUAAACUUCUUUUGCAGGGGAAUAAAGUGCAGGACGUGUCCUGUUUUGUAUGUACCCUGAGAAUAAGGAUCGGCUAACUCCGUGCCAGCAGCCGCGGUAAU
rnacentral:rRNA from 1 species